AUGGAGGAACAGGAUCUGCAGAUGAUGGUCAUGACUAAUCAAAAGACUUCACCACUGCAGUAUCUCAUUGCAUCCACCAUGCAGGACAGAGUCCGCACUGCUGUUGAAAAGUCACAGGAAGCCGUAGGGAUGCUUAGCUCUUUGGGGGCUUGCAGAGAACGAAGCCCUGUUAGAGACCAGCCCCCUUCCAAGAUCUUUGUCCAAUAUCAAGAGACAGAGGAAGAGUCCCAAAAACCCUCGUUCCAGCCUGUCUCUCCAUCAGGAGCCCCUGGCAAACCAGAACCUCAGCCUGCAGUCAGGGCCAAAGUCCCAGAACAAUCUCAAAUACUCUCAGAGGUAUCUUAUAAAGCAGUAGACCUCAAGACCCAGCAAUGUAGUCAGCCUGUGCCAAUGAUUGUUGUGCAAGAGUAUGAAGAGGAGAAAAGUAGUCCACAACCACAAAUGCAUCCCUCUGUGCAAGUGAAAGACUCUCAGUCCAUUGAAGUUAAGUCAGAGAAAGUUGUCCAUGAUCAAACAAAAGUCAACAUAGAGCAUCAUGUAGAAAGCCAGGAAUCUUUACCACAGUCUGUGACACAACAACAGACAGAAAAAAGUCCAGUAGCUGGCCAACCCUCACAGAACCUACAACAAGCAGAGUCACAAGUACAUAAUAAACAACAAUUAGCAACACAGGCCCAUGUGCACAUUCAUCAACAAGAGAAAACUCAGCUUGCAAAACAGCAGAAGGUUCAACCACAAGUUUCAAUCCAGUCACGGCCUCAGGGCCAACUAGAAGCACAAACACAGCAAGCUCCAAAGCAGCAGAGGAAAGUAAAGAAGUCCCAGGCACAUCUGCAGAACAGACCUUGGCUUCAACAGAGGAGUCAACCGGAAAGAGUUACCCAAAACGCAGUGCAACAGUUGGUCCCACAAUCUCAGUCAGAGCCUGAGGACAAAUGUCAAAUAAGUUCUCAAGCACCACCACAGCAUAUAAUAGCUGUUUGUUCACCUGUGGCUCAGGGACCUGCUCAAGGCACAGCACAGUCAAAAAUCAUUGGUAAGAGUGAUGAGAAUCACCUGAAGCCAGCUCAGUCUGUUGCACAAGAGAAACCUCUUGUAGAAACACAAAACACACCUCAAACUGUGCCAGCAGUUUCAGCACAACCAGUGACUCAAAAACAACCACAAAAGCCAGUGACUGUUCCGAUUCAUCAACAAGUGUUUCCCAAACCUCAACCCUCUUUAUCAACUCAAGCUCAAACAACUACACAACAAACACUAGCUACUGCACCCAUUAAGCAACAAAAGCAACUUCAAACACAGAUAGUGACACCACAGCAACCUCAAGUGAUGAUCCAGAAACAGGCACAAUCUCAAUCCAUGACUCCAAUGCAACCCCAGGUUAUGGCCCAAUGGCAGCCACAACAGACAAUUGCUCAGCCUCGUCCUGCAGUGCCACAACCACAAAUAUUUCCAGUGGCCCAAACAAUGCCUCAAAGGCCAGUCCAACAAUACCCAACAUCUCCCAUUCAACCACAAAUAACAAUGCAGAGACAACAGUCUCAGUCCCAGCAAACCACAAUGCGCAAUCCGACUGUUAUUACCCCUCAACCCAAAGGUGCAUCCCCCAUACAACCCAGAAUCAUCUCUAUGCCUCGACCCCAGAUGCCUAUUCAAUCUCAAACUCAGGUCAAAGCACAGGGAAGUGUACCACAUGUGAUUCAACCUCAGGGGCAACCCCAGUGGAAUCAACCAGGAGAUGUCACCCAAACGUACCCCAGAGUGCAAGGACCAGUUUCUGUUGCUGCCCAAAUGCAGCCACUGGCCCAUUUCCAAACUCAUCCCCAACCUCCAAGUAUCCCUCCAACUCAACUUCAGCAGUGGUCACCAAUAAGACCAGGCUUAGUGAGUCAGACAUACCCAACUGUCCAAGUUCCAGGUCAGGUAAUUCAAUCUCAGCCUCAAAUGGCAAUUUACCCUAAAAUCCAGCCGCAAUCCCAGCCUCAGCAGUGGUCCUCUGCUAGACCUGAAUUACCUUGGGGUCAGUCACAGAUAAGACCUCAAGGUCCAGCUCAGCAUAUAGUUCCCUCUCAGCAAUGGAGGCCUAUCAGUCCAGAAAGAGUCAGUCCAGUAUACCCAAGGGCUGAAACCCAAGGGCCCAAGGGACCACAUCCUCAGACCCAAUAUCAAGCUCUUCCAAGGCCAGCAAGCCCUCAACAUCAGUGGAGACCAGUCCGGCCAGAACAUCAGUUUCAAGUUUCUUCCCAGACUAUGUUCCAUGGUGCUCCCCAGCCAGUAGCUCCAUGGAAUCAACCACCUUCUCAAGCUCUCAUAAGAUCUCAGAGUCCACAACAGCCUCAGCAAAGUCAGCAAAAGUGGAUUUCAUCCAAGACAGAGGCCCCAUCUGCAACCCUCAUCCAAAGCCAAGUAGCCCAGGCAGAGCUUCAGUCCCAAGAUCUGACAAAGCUGCAGUUACCAGUACAGGAACCACCCCAACAGCAGUCAGUUCCUCGGGUUAAGCAACCAGCACUUGCCCAGGCACCCCCUCAAGCCUACACUGAAGCUUAUAUAAAGGCACAGGCCCUGGUUAGGGAUAGAUUUGAAGAAGCCAAGCACUGUCUUCAAGAGCACAUUAUAGAAGCUAUCAGUGUAUUCAAGGACAAGAGAAUAAUGGACGAACAGGCAUCAGUUAAGGAGGUUUGUCCAUUUUAGACAUUAGCUGGUUUGCUUGUUUUUGGCUGUUUGCAACAGAGCCCAAUUUCAGUAAACUAUAUCGUUGUGUUUGUAUGUUUUAUAAGAGAUUGUGGUUAAUUUUCCCAAGUGUCUGUGUGGGGUUUUUGUUUCUUUUUUAGGAGACCCUUCGGACUCUUGACCCUGAACUUCUUGAAGAGUUCUUGAGGGCUGCGGAAGGAAUGGAAGCUUUCUGCACCCCAUCUGAACUUAGAGACAUGGAGUUUUUCAAACAAUCUGUUAGAACACAGUGGAAGGUAUCAGUGUAGUAAAAUUUAGUGCUUGUUUGUCUAUAUCUGCAGUGUGACUUUAAUGUUAACCGUUUUUAUUUUUGAUACUAACUGAAAUGCUCUGCACUGUAUUAAACUGAUUGAAUGUGAAGUUACAAAUAUUAAGAGGUUGUGUGCUUGCUGUUGUGUUUUUUUAUUUUAUUUUAUUAAUAUUUUUAGGAUGUUCGAGUGCAAAUAUCAGAAUUUUUGAAGCAACUCAGAUUUGAGUUAACCCGCCUGCAUUUUAACCGUAUGGUUAAGACAUGUGAGAUACACUUUAAGAAGGAAAAACUCAACCAUAGGCCUGAAUCAAUAUCAGAAUCAAAAGAAGAGGUAAAAUUACAGCUACCCUAACCACGGAGCAUGAACAGUCAUAUAGACAAAUGGGUGUGGGAAUGAAUUUCUCCUUUAAUUUUAAUUCAUCCUUUGUUUCCUAAAUUAAACAUUUGCUUUUUGGGUCAAUUAAUGCCUUAAUUUCUUGUUCUUGUCUUUCCUCUUAACCACAUCACUCACUUGGCACUUGACACAACUUUAUUUUUAUUUUGCAUGUUGCAAAUGAAAAUUAAAAAUACUGCAAAAUAAAUAAAUUACAGUUGCAUUAAUUUAAUAAAUA
ensembl:lncRNA